GAUGAACGCUGGCGGCGUGCCUAAUACAUGCAAGUCGAGCGAACGGACGAGAAGCUUGCUUCUCUGAUGUUAGCGGAGCACGGGUGUGUAACACGUGGAUACCCUACCUAUAAGACUGGUAUAACUUCGGGAAACCGGAGCUAAUCGCGGAUGAUCUUUUGAACCGCAUGGGUCGAAAGUGAAAGACGGUCUUGCUGGCACUUAUAGAUGGAUCCGCGCUGCAUUAGCUAGUUGGUAAGGUAACGGCUUACCAAGGCAACGAUGCAUAGCCGACGUGAGAGGGGGGUCGGCCACACUGGAACUUAGACAGCGACCAUACUCCUACGGGAGGCAGCAGUAGGGAAUGUUCCGCAAUGGGCGAAAGCCUGACGGAGCAACGCCGCGUGAGUGAUGAAGGUGUCCGGAUCGUAAAACUCUGUUAUUAGGGAAGAACAUAUGUGUAAGUAACUGUGCACUUCUUGACGGUACCUAAUCAGAAAGCCACGGCUAACUACGUG
rnacentral:rRNA from 1 species